rnacentral:rRNA from 1 species
UACGGGGGGGGCAAGCGUUGUUCGGAAUUACUGGGCGUAAAGGGCUCGUAGGUGGCCAACUAAGUCAGACGUGAAAUCCCUCGGCUUAACCGGGGAACUGCGUCUGAUACUGGAUGGCUUGAGUUUGGGAGAGGGACGCGGAAUUCCAGGUGUAGCGGUGAAAUGCGUAGAUAUCGAGAGGAACACCUGCGGCGAAGGCGGGUUGCUGGGCUGACACUGACGCUGAGGAGCGAAAGCGUGGGGAGCAAACAGG